GAUGAACGCUGGCGGUAUGCUUAACACAUGCAAGUCGAACGGACUCUUCGGAGUUAGUGGCGGACGGGUGAGUAACGCGUGAGAAUCUGGCUUUGGGUUCGGGACAACCACUGGAAACGGUGGCUAAUACCGGAUGUGCCGAGAGGUAAAAGAGAAAUUGCCUGAAGAUGAGCUCGCGUCUGAUUAGCUAGUUGGUGAGGUAAAGGCUCACCAAGGCAGCGAUCAGUAGCUGGUCUGAGAGGACGACCAGCCACACUGGGACUGAGACACGGCCCAGACGACUACGGGAGGCAGCAGUGGGGAAUGUUCCGCAAUGGGCGAAAGCCUGACGAAGCAAUACCGCGUGAGGGAAGAAGGCUCUUGGGAUGUAAACCUCUUUUCUUAGGGAAGAACAAAAUGACGGUACCUAAGGAAUCAGCAUCGGCUAACUCCGUG
rnacentral:rRNA from 1 species